AAACGAGACCCAGCACUGGAAGUCUGAGUGCUCCAUUCGGUGAUCAGCACUGAACGCAGAGGACUCACCAUGAAGUUUGGGCCGAGCUGGGUUUUCCUUGUUGCUAUUUUAAGAGGUGUCCAGUGUGAGGUGCAGCUGGUGGAGUCUGGAGGAGGCUUGGUCCAGCCUGGGGGGUCCCUGAGACUCUCCUGUGCAGCCUCUGAAUUCACCUUCAGUAGCUAUGACAUGAAUUGGAUCCGCCAGGCUCCGGGGAAGGGGCUGGAGUGGGUCUCAGCUAUCAGUACUGGUGGUAGCACAUACUACGCAGCCGUGAAGGGCCGAUUCACCAUCUCCAGAGACAACGCCAAGAACUCGCUGUAUCUGCAGAUGAACAGCCUGAGAGCCGAGGACACGGCCGUGUAUUACUGUGCAGGUUACACAAUGAGGGGAAGUCAGUGUGAGCCCGGACACAAACCUCCUGCAGGGGACCCCGCCACCACCAGGGGGCGCCCGGGCGCUGUGCACGGGGCUGUCUCGGGCAGGUGCAGGUGCUGCUGAGGGCUGGCUUCCUGUCAUGGUCUGGGGCUGCCUCGUUGUCACAUUUCCCCAGGGAACCUCCAGGAUUUACA